CCUACGGUGGACAGCAGUGGGGGAUAUUGGACAAUGGGGGGGAACCCUGAUCCAGCGACGCCGCGUGAGUGAAGGAGUAUUUCGGUAUGUAAAGCUCUGUCAGCAGGGAAGAAAGCAAUGACGGUACCUGACCAAGACGCCCGGCUAACUACGUGCCAGCAGCCGCGGGCAUACGUAGGGGGCAAGCGUUAUCCGGAAUUACUGGGUGUAAAGGGUGCGUAGACGGCUGUGCAAGUCUGGAGUGAAAGGCGGGGGCCCAACCCCCGGACUGCUCUGGAAACUGGAUGGCGGGAGUGCAGGAGAGGUAAGUGGAAUUCCUAGUGUAGCGGUGAAAUGCGUAGAUAUUAGGAGGAACACCAGUGGCGAAGGCGGCUUACUGGACUGUAACUGACGUUGAGGCUCGAAAGCGUGGGGAGCAAACAGGAUUAGAUACCCUAGUAGUC
rnacentral:rRNA from 1 species